rnacentral:lncRNA from 1 species
UAGGAAGAAAGGCCACUUUGUGUUAGUCAAACAGGCUUUCUUCAGAGCUGUCAGCGGGCUGUGAUGAAAGAACCAUGACACUGACCCUAGACUAAGGUUUGAAUUCCGCCGAGGUCACUCACUACCUCAGUUACCUUGGAUAAUUUACUUGAUUUCUCCCUUUCUAGUUCUUUUUCUGUAAAAUGAGGAAGAGAAUGGUAAAGUCUCCUUUGCAUUACUGUGAGGAUUGCCAAAGGUCUGGAUCACAGUUGGUUCUCCCGUGGGAAUCAUUGCCAUCACCGUCAUUGCCUUGUGUACGGCCUUCACGCGUUUCGCCAGCUUCUGUGUCAUUGGUGACAUCAUAAAAUCAGGGAAAGGGAAAUCUGUAAACACUGGCCGUUGAAGAAUACGGUUUCUGAGAAUUUCCACUCUGAAUUCACAUUCCGUUCAGUGUUAUCGCCACCCUGUGGAUUUCUUGGCUACCUCGCUGGCUUUGAGCACAACCCAGGAAGAAGUUUGAAACCAAGAAAAUGGUGGUUGGGAAGACCAGGAUGCGCAAUGGCAAGUUGAGGGCAAGCGGGGUACGUGUCCUGAAUUUAUAGAAUCUUUUGACACAAAGCAAGAGAGCCACAGUCAAGACUCAAGUCAAAAGAAAUUUAGACCCCAUCUGGGCAAACAGGCCUCUAAGCAACAAUCUAAGAUUUCCACCUAUUGUUCUGGCAUUCCUUGUAUAAAUGAUUAUGACUGCAGAGAUCUUAGGAAGUGCUGUGGUACCUUUAGAUGUGGCCUGAGGUGCAUACAUCCUCUUAUGAUUGGCCCUGUAUUUUUCAAUUCACCUCCACAAUCCAAGGCAUAAAUAUUGGAUGGAGAAAUGGAUUCAGAUGGAGGCAUCAUUGAGCUUAUUCUUGACUCAUCUCAGUCCAAACAUUACUCUGUCAAUCGUUGUUCUUAAAAUCUGCAUAUUAAAAGCUCAGCAUCAACUAUUUUUGAGCUCUGUGUCUCAUUCAGG